rnacentral:rRNA from 1 species
AUGCAGCGGCACCUAAUGGUGACAGUUGUUAAAGCGGGGGAUCGCAAGACCUCGCGUCUGAAGAGGAGCCUGCGGCAGAUUAGCUAGUUGGUAAGGUAAUGGCUUACCAAGGCGAUGAUCUGUAGCCGGCCUGAGAGGGCGGUCGGCCACACUGACACUGACAUACGGGUCAGACUCCUACGGGAGGCAGCAGUCGGGAAUUUUGGGCAAUGGGCGAAAGCCUGACCCAGCAACGCCGCGUGAAGGAUGAAAUCCCUCGGGAUGUAAACUUCGCAAGAACGGGAAGAAUAAGUAAGAGUUAAUAUCUCUUACGAUGACGGUACUGUUUGUAAGCUCCGGCUAACUCCGUGCCAGCAGCCGCGGUAAUACGGGGGGAGCAAGCGUUGUUCGGAUUUACUGGGCGUAAAGGGCGCGUAGGCGGCCUCUGCAAGUCGACUGUGAAAUCUCCGGGCUUAACCCGGAAAGGUCAGCCGAUACUGCAGGGCUAGAGUGCAGAAGGGGCAACUGGAAUUCUCGGUGUAGCGGUGAAAUGCGUAGAUAUCGAGAGGAACACCUGCGGCGAAGGCGGGUUGCUGGGCUGACACUGACGCUGAGGCGCG